rnacentral:rRNA from 1 species
AUGGCCGGCAUCAUGCACAAGAUCGAGGAGAAGCUCCACAUGGGCGGCGGCAGCGACGAGCACAAGAAGGACGAGGAGCACAAGAAGGCGGAGGAGCACAAGAAGAAGGACGGGGAGCACAAGGAGGGCAUGAUGGAGAAGAUCAAGGACAAGAUCAGCGGCGACGGCAAGAAGGACGGCGACCACAAGGAGAAGAAGGACAAGAAGAAGAAGAAGGACAAGAAGCACGGCGAGGGCCACAAGGACGACGACGGCCACGGCAGCAGCAGCAGCGACAGCGACAGCGACUGA